rnacentral:lncRNA from 1 species
ACUGGGUCGAUGAUCAAUCUGCACUGUGACUUUGCUUUGGAAAGACCGCCAAAUGACCACCUACGUCUUCGAUUUCAUUAGCGUACAAUGAUAUAAAAUGAAGGGAAAUGGAUGUGUGCUUUCUCGAAAAAAUUUCCUCCUUGGAAGGAUGUAAGAUAUGAAACUUUACAUCACUCUUUAAGGAUUGGUAUUGUAUGGUUCAGUGCUGAUAAUUUUAUUUGAAAUAUGUAGCUUUUGUAAAAGAAAUGAAGGACUUUAGCAAGUUUGUUGACAAAAAAACCCUUAAAUUUUGGAAAUUAAAAAAAAAGGGGAGUGUAGCACUUGUCCUAAUAUUGUUUAGCAGCGUUUCAUCAUUCUAGAUUGGUUUAUCCUGGGGCCAGUCUUUAGUUUCUGUUCAACAUGGUAUCAUUCACGGAUGCUAAGAAGUGUUAACCUGUCAAAUGUUGUGCCCAUGCAUCCAAGAGCAUAUCUAAAAAAAUUUAUAAUGGGAAAAUUAUUAAGACAGUGGACUACGAUAUUCAAACAAGAACUAUUAAAAAAAAAAUUUAUCAACUUGAAUAAUGCAGGUUCCGCAUGCGGAGAUGUUUCUUCUUCCCAAAGCUAAUAAUGAGUUGGGAUAGCGAAGACAAGUGUAGAAAGUCUGGUUGUUCUACAAAAUGAGCCUUCGUGAAGCUUAAGCUUUAGGAUUUUUUUUCUUGGUAAAAUAAGCUUUAGGUUUUCACGUCAUAGAGAUGUACUAAAUAUUUAUAUGAACGAAAAAGGGCCCUCCGUGGUCAUAUAUAUGUUCUUGAGUUGCUUUUUGUUGGCCAAGAUUUUUGCAUUUUUCUAACGCCUGUCCAUUUUAAGUUUUUGGCUGUUACACAACAAACGAUCAUGUGGGGAAAUCAGUGUCCCAAACCAACAAAGCUACUCAUCUUUUUGAGGAGAUGAAGGUGGAAGAUAAAAAUCUAAAAUGCAUGAAGCAAGAACUCCAAAUUAGGCUUUUGACAUUCUCUAAGUUAUCUUCGGAUGUUAUCUUGAUAAACAUUUGUUAUUAUUUUACUGUUUCGUAGACCCAUUGAAAGAUCAUGAUGAGUGGAAAGUUAAGAACACCCUUAGCCCACCCUACAUUUUUAUUUUUUUGAGAAAUUGGAGGAAGUAAGUUACUUCCGCCAGAUAAUAUUAUAAAAAUAAUAAUAGAAGUUAACAAGUUGAAUGAUAAGGACUCAAAAAGGGAGAGGAGGAGUGGCAUAUUUGCUGAACUUUACCAUCUGAUACAGCCAAAACACAGAGAUUCCAUUCUACCAGUUCGACCCACAAUCUCGAUACAGAGAAAUAAAGGAGAUGAUGCAGGGACAUUCAAUGAAUGCGAUAGAUCUGAUUGGAUUUGGAAGCCUGACGAAUAUCUGAAUCCGAUAUAUGAAUGUUCCUGUAAAUUAUCUCCAAAUGGUGCCAACUCGGUAAUUGAACUUGAAUACUGAUGAUCAAUAUAUCUAUAUAGAGCUUGAGACAUUACUCAAAACUUGAGGAAAAUGUUUGUUUGCCGCACUUCUUGUCUAGUCUUCAAAAAGUGAUGAAAUCUUUUUAAUCAAGGUCAAGUGAACAUUUGCUUCGCUAUGGAAGAUUCUGUUAUUUCUUUCAAUCCAGAUAUACCACAAAGUAAUGGCAACGAAGGUGUUAUAAGCUUUGUGAAAUUUUUUAUCAACUUGCCAUUUACUUAUUGGCAGCCAAAGAUCAGUGACUUCAGUUGGAACUGCAUUUUCUGGAAGGAUGUGACACCGGAUCUCCUUUGAAUAAGGGCAUGAUAAGAAAAGGUGAUCUUGGGUUUCACUAUGGAAGCAACAGAGAGCCCACCCUACAUUUUAGAAUUCCCUGGAACGUUGAUUUCGUACACUACAUAGAGCCGAGAAAGAUGGAGUCCUAACUGUAACUACGAGGCCUUCACGCGAGUUCACCAUGCUUCAUAUUGAGAAGAAAAAUUAAAAUCCUGAAUCAUAGAUCUAUUUCUUUGACUAUUACAUUGCAUAUAGAUUCUUUAAGAUCCACUCUACCAUAAGAAGGAAUACUUCUUUGAAAGAAUUUCAUCUUCAAAAGAUGAGGAUAACCAUACCUUAUGAUAACAGCUUAGUGCAUUUCCAUUUCAAAAACAGCCUAGUGCAUUUCUUUUGUUUACAAUUCUAUAAUGCCAGUUUCUAAAUCCCCAAGAUAUUAUACACUCAAAUCAAGCAUAUUCUCAACUAAUAGUUGUGCUUAAUAAGUGAAAAUAAAAAAGGCCAUUGGUGAGCUGAUACAACCAUUACUUUCAUGACUUUGUAUCAAUGGCUUUGGCUGUGACUUUAUUGGACCUUGUUCCUGUGGAGAUACUCAGAGAGUUCUAUAUUAUUCAGUUGAUUCAAAGUACGAAUAUUCUGUUAAAGAUAUUAAUUUGUAAUUCUAGAACCUAAUGUUAAUUAAUAGCCUUGAGAAAUUCAAGAGACUUGAGAAUUUCAAAUGUCAUCUUGGGAAAGCAAAGAAACAAAUUUAUCAGGUUCUAGAAUAUUAAGAGUCAUAUUGUAACUCUGAGAGCCACUUUUACAUUCAUCGUGGUCAGGUUCUAGAGUCAUCUUUUGUAACUAUAAAUAGGAGGCCGUAGAGCCCUUGAUAUGCGGUGAAGCAAGAGUUGGAGCCUUUCCUAUCAUAUCUUCUCUUUCUCUUUCAAUAGAAAGUCAUAUUCUUUUGCAUAAAUCUCUUGUAUUCUUUUUAGCACCCAACAAAUUUGGUACUAGGGCCACCAUCUCUCUUACCUCAUAUUUGCAUACUGAGCCCUCCAAAAUCCACAAACGAGUCCUAUAAGCCCUAUGGCAGCAAACACUAGCAAUACCACCUUCAAUUAUACCUAAACUUCGGCUCCUAUCUUUGAAAGAGAAAACUAUGACUACUGGAGCAUCCAAAUGAGGAUGCUCUUCAUGUCACAAGAUCUCUGGGACUUGGUCGAAGGAGGCUAUGAAGAACCAGCAACUCCAGAAGCUUUCGAGGCAUGGAAUCAAGCAAAGCAUAAAGAGUAUAGGGACUGCAAAAUGAAAGAUGCGGAGGCCUUACUCUUCAUCCUUCAAUGGGUAAGCAAGUCCAUCUUUCCUAGAAUUAUGGAUGCAACUAAAGCUAUAGAUGCAUGGGAAAUUUUAAAAAAGGAUUUUCAAGGCUCUAAUAGAAUAAUUUGUAUCAAGCUUCAAUCUUUGUGGAGGGAGUUUGAUAAUCUUAAAAUGAAGUAAAAUAAAACUGUUAUAAUAUUUCUUUCUAGAGUUGCUGGUAUCGUCAAUCAAAUUAGAAGCUAUAGAAUACUAUUCCAGAUUGCAAAAUUAUCCAAAAAGUUUUAAGAGUUCUGCUAGCUAAAUUUGAGCAUGUAGUUACAGCAAUUGAAGAAUCAAAGGAUUUAUCUACUUUCUCAUUGCAUGAACUAUUGGGCUCUCUGGAAGUACAUGAGGAAAGAAUGAACAGGUUCGCCUCUCAACCUCUGGAGCAAGCUUUUCAAGCCAAACUCACAAUUGAUGCAUAGAAGAGUGAGCAAGACAGCAACAAGAAGGAGUCCUCUCAAAAGAAAGAUCAACAAAAAAGAAAAUGGAAGUCAAAUUUUUUGGAAGCUCCAGGCAAAAAGAUAGGCAGAAACAAUAGCUCAAGAAAUGGUAAUUCCUCAUCUCAAUGUUUUAUUUGCAUGAAGUUUGGGCAUGAAUCUAGAAACUGUCAUUUUAAAUGUAGAAGAUGCAAAAUUCCAAAUCAUUCUGAGGGGGAUUGUUGGUAUAAAGAAAAAAGGCAACCUAAUGAAGCAAAUUUUUCUAAAGAAAAUUGUGAUGACCAGUUGUUUUACUCUUGCAUGAGCAUACAAUAAAAAUCACAAGAUAUUUGAUAUCUAAAUAGUGGAUGCAGCAAUCACACGAUAGGAAACCAAAAGCUCUUUGUCCAACUAAAAAUGGCUUCUUCUCAAAUCAAGCUUGGAUAUAGCAAACUACAACAAGUUGAAGGCAGAGGUGUGGUAGCAGUUUACACCAAAGGAGGUAUAAAAAAACUAAUUCAUGAUGUUUUAUAUGGUCCUGGUAUUGCUCAAAAUCUCCCUAGUGUUGGACAAUUGGUGCAAAAUGGUUAUUUGGUUUUUUUUGAGAAUGGUGAAUGCACAAUUCUUGAUAAAAAGAAAGACAUCGUUAUUGCUAAGAUCAAAAUGACUUCAAACAAGGUUUUUUGUCUUAUCAUAUUAAUUAACAAAAAUGUAGCCUUAUAAGGAGAAAAUAUUGAUGAUUCCUAUUUAUGGCAUUUGAGAUAUGGUCACCUCAACUAUAAAGGCUUGAAGUUGUUGAAAGAUAAGAAUAUGAUAAUUGGGCUUCCAUCAAUAAACAAAGGUCACUUAUGUGAAGGUUGUGUUUAUGAAAAACUGCAUCGGCUUCCAUUUCCAAAGAGGGCUUGAAGGGCACAAGCUCCGCUAGAGCUAGUGCAUGCUAAUCUUUGUGGUCCUACUAGAACCCCUUCUUUUAAUCAAAAAAAUUUUUUUCUUCUUUUUAUUAAUGCUUAUACUAAAAAAAUGUGGGUAUUCUUUCUUGAGCAAAAGUAAGAGGCAUUUUCUUUCUUUCUCUAGUUUAAAGCUUUUGUAGAGUGGCAAAGCAAUCAUCAAAUCAAGACUCUAAGAACAGAAUGUGGAGGAAAAUUUAUCUCUGGACCCUUCAUGAACUAUUGCAAGGAGAACGGCAUCAAGAGAUAACUCACUAUCCGCUAUACAUCAGAACAAAAUGGAGUUGCUGAGUGCAAGAACCGUACAAUUAUGAAGAUGGCUAGAAGUAUGAUGAAAGGCAAAGGCUUGCCAAAUAAUUUUUGGACUGAAGCUAUUAAUAUAGCUAUCUAUAUCCUAAAUAGAUCUCUAACAAAAAUAGUGCUAAACAAAACUCCUUAUGAAGCUUGGCAUAGGCAAAAGCCUCAGGUCAAUCAUCCUAAAGUCUUUGGCUGCAUAGCUUAUUCUCUUAUUCCAUCUCAAAAUAGAGAUAAAUUUGAUCAAAAAGGAGAAAAGCAUAUCUUUAUUGGAUAUAGUGAUUAGUCUAAAGGCUAUCGCCUUCUGAAUCCUAUAAAAAAUCAACUUGUUGUUUCUCGAGAUGUGUUCUUUGAUGAACUUACAGCAUGGCAAUGGGAGGCCAAUCCUCCUGAACGUGCAAGAAGAGAUGAGUUUAGGGAGAUAGAAGCAAAUCAAAAAGAAACUGAGCAUCAACCAAGCCCAAUAAGAGCAUCAAGAGAAGAAAGUUCAAGCCAAGUCAUCAUAGAUUCUGUUUACCCCCAAGAAAGGUGGGCAGCUUACGUGAGAUCUAUAAGUCUUAUGACGUUGCCUUCUUUUCAUGUGAACCAUAGGAUUUUAAAGAAGCAAAAAAAGAUGAGGUAUGUCUAAAAGUCAUGGAUGAAGAAAUAGCUGCUAUCGAAAGAAAUUAUACAUGGGAGCUUGUUGAUCUCCCAAAAGGCAAAGAUAUUAUCAAGCUCAAAUAGAUUUAUAAGACAAAGUUCAAAGAAGAUGACUCUAUCGAUAAGCACAAAGCUCAUCUAGUUGCAAAAAGUUACACUCACAAUGUUGUGCCCAUGCAUCCAAGAGAAUAUCUAAAAAAAUUUAUAAUGAGAAAAUUAUUAAGACAGUGGACAACGAUAUUCAAAAGAGAACUAUUAAAAAUAAAAUUUAUCAACUUGAAUAAUGCAGGUUCCGCAUGCGGAGAUGUUUCUUCUUCCC